CGGGUGAGUAACACGUGGGUAAUCUGCCCUGCACUCUGGGAUAAGCCUGGGAAACUGGGUCUAAUACUGGAUAUGGCCUUUCUCCUUAUGGGGUUUGGUGGAAAGUUUUUCGGUGUAGGAUGAGCCCGCGGCCUAUCAGCUUGUUGGUGGGGUGAUGGCCUACCAAGGCGACGACGGGUAGCCGGCCUGAGAGGGUGAUCGGCCACAUUGGGACUGAGAUACGGCCCAG
rnacentral:rRNA from 1 species